rnacentral:rRNA from 1 species
AUUGAACGCUGGCGGCAGGCUUAACACAUGCAAGUCGAACGAGUGGCGGACGGGUGAGUAAUGCUUGGGAAUCUAGCUCAUGGGGGGGGAUACCUACGGGAAACUGUAGCUAAUCCCACGUACCCUAGGAUGACCCCAAGUGGGCUUAGGGAGUUGGUGAGGUAAAGGCUCCCCAAGUCGACGCUCUCUAGCUGGUCUGAGAGGAUGACCAGCCACACUGGGACUGAGACACGGCCCAGACUCCGACGGGAGGCAGCAGUGGGGAAUAUUGCACAAUGGGCGCAAGCUGAUGCAGCCAUGCCGCGUGAAUGAAGAAGGCCUUAGGGUUGUAAAGUUCUUUCGGUAGCGAGGCGUUAACUACAGAAGAAGCACCGGCUAACUCCGUGCCAGCAGCCGCGGUAAUUC